GGUGUUAUGAGGGAAAGCAAGGGAAGAAGGAAGCCAGAAAUAAAGGAAGACAGACGGAAGGAAGGGAGAAAGGAGGGGAAGGAGUUAUGAGGGAAAGGAAGGGAAGAAGGAAGCAG